CCGGAAGGAAGGCCAUGAUUUCAGCUCUCUGGGAUUUGAGACAAAGAGGCCCCUUUUCUUUCAUUUUAUCUUUUCAUGUCUCUUCUUGCCAUGUACCCACAUGAUUGAGUGUGGGCUGAGGGUGAAUCCAAGAAGGGCUUUGUUUUGUGGUCAGUACAGGCUUUGGUCCACAGAGACAACAAUACUUUCAAUACUCUUUUGUUCUGCCCCAGAGGAGCUCAACACAGAAUUGCCUAGAACAAGAAACUGGAAUUGUACAUGGCGAUCAUCAGCAGUAUGAAGAGGAGCUGUGGGGCCAGUGAGAGAAGCUGCAGCCUGUUGAGACUCCACAAGACUGAAGAUAUGAAAAGAGGAAAUAUGCAUGAAUGCCCGCACGGAGAACCACCCCCACCUGCUGCUCCCGCUCUAAUGAUCACGCCCAUUAUCAACUGGGGGAUGGCUCUGUGCCUUGUCCUUGCAUUACAUGGACCAAGAACACUUCACAGGACUCAGAGAGGCAAAAAUAGAUACAAAAGAAGAAGGAAUUACAGAAGAAGUCACAUAACAUUAUUGCCUACAACUGACUGUUUACCUUGAAUACUUGAAGACCAGAAUGAAGAUUCUUGGGGUGAAGAAUUACAGCCUUAGCAUGGAGCAGGCCUCGGUGCAUCGGCUUUCAGCUAGGCAUGCCUGCCAAUGUUCAACGUCCUCCUGGGAUACGGAAGGCACCGUGAUAGACAUCUGGGCAAGUCAACAGGAAGGUGGAUAUCCAAAUCUCUCUCUUCGCAAUGAGUUUCCAGUUAGAUGGAGGAGAGAGUAAUAAAACACAGAGCUGAGAUUCCUGACUUCACAGAUCCCUGAGGAGAUGUUUACUAAAGGGAAUCUUCUGGUCACUGUUACCUUCCUCCGUACUUACCUGCCUCAUGGAUAACACUGAAGAAUGCAGUUUACUUACAUCUUUUUCUGUUUGACAGAAGACAGUUAUUAGUUACCCUUGGGACAUCAAAAUGACCAAGGCAGUGUCUGCUAAGUAUUUGCUGAGACUCUGCUAUGAUUCUUUCAAGUCUAAAGACAGUUAUCUGAAUGAUAUCCCCGUGACAGUGGACUCCUGCACAUUCACAGUCCUGGAAGGAGCCUGUCCACAUUGGCAUUCUGGAAGUCCAUAAAAGACAAACGCAUAUGCAGUCCCCGAGAAAGCAUUGUUGUAAACAAAUCUGCACUAGAUGGAAACUCUGUUAUGUGGUGCCGGCAUGCAUGGAAGAGAACCCGAAAGGAAGAAGCUAUACGACUGGGGACACAUGUCUUAGAAGCACACUCAUUAGAUAAAGUGUCGCAUACUCUUUGAUAAGAAACUCCAGGCUGUCACCCAUCUGUUCUCUCAUCAAAGUAGUUUUGGGCCAGCAACUAUUUCAGACAUUUCUACAGUUUCAGAUGUCUCACUCUGCCUAUGACUGUAUGUUGUACUUGAGGACUGGACGCACAGGGUAAAGUGCAAAUAGCAAGCAUUCAGGUCCAACUCUCCUCCUUCUGGUUAACAAUAUGAAAGAAAGAGGUAGUAUCGGAAUUAUUUUAGUUCAAUGUAGCCAU
rnacentral:lncRNA from 1 species